AUGUUCUGUGACUCCUAUUUUUUGAAAGGGUGGCAACAUUGCUGCUAUAGUCUUUUCAAUUUUUUUGCGUACACAGUGCGAAGCACCAUCCUCGUGCUAACCCUCGGAAUGGCAGAAACAGGAGGCGACAAAAUUUCUAAGAAUGAGUUAAAGCGGAGGUUAAAGGCUGAACAAAAAGCGAAGGAAAAACUUGAAAAAGAAAAAAUGAAGCAGCUAAAAAAGUUGCUAACCCAAAACCAUCUGCUGCAGCUGAAGAAGAAAUUAGCCCCAAUGAAUAUUUCAAAUUACGUAGCUCAGCUGUCAGCCAGUUAAAAGAAUCAGGACCUCAUCCGUAUCCACACAAAUUUCAUGUGGAUAUUUCUCUAGAAGCAUUUAUAGACAAGUACAAUGGUUUAUCGAAGGUGAAGUUCUUGAGGAUGUAACUCUCAGUGUAUCUGGUAAGUUCAUCAUCAUAUUGACAAUCAAGCACCCUUAAAAUAGUUUUUCGAUGGACCGCUAGACAAGGUGCAAACUUAAGCAUUAUGAUCCAUGUAUUCUCAUCAAAAUUUUAGUAGAACACGAUUUGUGCAAUAAAAAUUAUUGAUUGCAACUCCUAACCAAGAUAAGUAUUAACAUUUAUUUAUACAAGAACUCCUACUUCAGGCGCAUAACAAAACCAUAAAAUACUUGAGUGAAAUCGCUUUCUAGGUGUCAUGGUAACAAGGUCUGCAGUGUGAGAAGAUGGCUCUCUCA
rnacentral:lncRNA from 1 species